ACCAGGCUGGCUCAGUGGGUAGAGGGUGUGACUCUUAAUCUCAAGGUUGUGGGUCCAAGCCCCACACUGGGUA
rnacentral:tRNA from 1 species